UACAGAGGUCCCAAGCGUUGUUCGGAUUCAUUGGGCGUAAAGGGUGCGUAGGCGGCGCGGUAAGUCGGGUGUGAAAUCUCGGAGCUUAACUCCGAAACUGCAUUCGAUACUGCCGUGCUUGAGGACUGGAGAGGAGACUGGAAUUUACGGUGUAGCGGUGAAAUGCGUAGAUAUCGUAAGGAACACCAGUGGCGAAGGCGACUACCUGGCCUGUUCUUGACGCUGAGGCGCGAAAGCUAGGGGAGCAAACGGG
rnacentral:rRNA from 1 species